rnacentral:lncRNA from 1 species
ACCACACUUUAACUUGUGAGAUUAGCUACUUACUUCACAAGUAAGAAAUGUCACAUGUGAUGGUCUAUCCGUAAUAACGAUAUCCGUAUCUCGUUAGUACUUACAACCACGGAUGAUUUAAGAUUCAAUCAGAUGUAAUUUGUAUCUCACAAUCACAACUCCUUGUGAUUAACAAAUUACAAAUAUUUGAAUUUACGGACUCUAUUAUUUAUUUAAUUGUCUAUUAAUUAAAUAAUAGAUCUGCCAUUUAAUUGCAUUAAUUAUAUAUAAAAGUAUUUAUGUCCAAAGUUGAUUGGACCUAGGGCAUAAUACUUACAUGUUCAUGGUACGAGAAGCCUGCUUGAGACCAUAGAUAGCCUUGAGAACAAGUCAAACAUAGGUCGGAAGAGACUCAUCAGUGUAGCCGAGAGGUUGAGCUAUAUACGUAUAAGAGUAGAACGCUGGUAAAGGACCUUUUGCAACAAGGCGAAAUUUGAAACUACUGAUGGUACCAACAAGAUUUCGUUUUUUCUAAAAUGCCCAUUUAAACUUACUACAUUUUGAGACAAAGUAGGGAAAACAAAGUAAACACGCUCCAUUACAAAUUAAUGCAUCAAACUCAGCUAACAUUGUAUGGUGCCAUAAAAGAUUUAAGAGAGAAGCGUGUUCAUAUCAAGCUGAGAAAUAAGAGUGGAGAUUGGACAGGUUUGUGGAUAUUAGCAUUGAAAGGAGUGAGCAUUUGUAAGUGUUUCGGGCAGGGGAACAGAGGUUUCCACUACAGAAGUUUCCAGGUAUAUCAGAAGUCUUCAAAUUACUUCUCAGGAUAGGCUAAAUUUGAUUGCUCCUAUAUUUACAUUGGAGGUUUACAUGUGAGCGAUUCAUGUGGAGAGACAUAUGAGGUGUGAGAGUUCAACUCUGGUGGGAUUAAUAAUAUCAGUACCCAGCAGCUACACCCCUUUACUGCUGGUAAUGCACCACCAGCACAUGUCAUCCGUUCGGUAGGUGCCUCAGCGACAAUGCAACCCGCAGCACUGCCUCAGGCUGGUUAUAGACCACCGAUUUUGACCCUUUUGGAUGACACCGUUCAUGAGAGGUAGGAAAAAUCAAUAUUUGUUAGUUUUUUUGGGCACAGGUUAGAAACCACUUAAAAUCAGUGUAGUGCAAUUUUGUGUCUUUUGAACCCAAAAAUUGGUGGGUUUUUCUUAAAUUCUCUUCAAUUUUAUUAUUUAUAAAAAUCGCUAUUAAAAAUCACGCAAAAUCAUGGUACUUUAUAAAACGCCCAUAUCCAUAGCCCAAAACUCCCAAGCAGGCCCUAAAUGUGGAAAGUUUGGCCACCACCAACCAGACUGUUCUAAGCGACAGGGUUAUUUUAUGAAUUGGCAGAGAAUGAGGAUUAUAACAGGACUCUAUUGUUUGACGAUGUUUUGGCCUUUUGGCCAAUUACUGGUUUCCGGAAUCUAAGAAUGUUAUAAUGGUCAUUCCAUGGACCUACCUAAAAAUGCUAGUGAUGCUCUACUUCCUAUUGAUGCCUUGAGAAAGGAUACAAAAUAUUUGGAACCAUAGAGUUAUGGCAUUCAGGUUGGAAGCAACAGAUUAAAGGGAUUUGGUUUUGGUUUUGUGAAGAGGCAAGUUUUGUGACAGCCAUAUCAGUACAUCUUUUGUUGAUAGGUUUGUUGACAUUUUCGUGUAGACUCAGCGAGUAACUCCCACCAUUUCGAGAUAUGGCUGACUCUAUAUGCUUGAUUGGGGACAAAUCUUCUC